rnacentral:rRNA from 1 species
CGAGGACGAACGCUGGCGGCGUGCCUAACACAUGCAAGUCGAACGGAGCAAAGCCCUUCGGGACUUUACUUAGUGGCGAACGGGUGAGUAACGCGUGAGGAACCUGCCUUCCAGUGGGGGACAACAGUUGGAAACGACUGCUAAUACCGCAUGAUGCUUUUGAGGGACAUCCCUUAAAAGCCAAAGCUUUAUGUGCUGGAAGAUGGCCUCGCGUCUGAUUAGCUAGUUGGGUGAGGUAACGGCUCACCAAGGCGACGAUCAGUAGCCGGUCUGAGAGGAUGAACGGCCACAUUGGGACUGAGAUACGGCCCAGACUCCUACGGGAGGCAGCAGUGGGGAAUAUUGGGCAAUGGGCGAAAGCCUGACCCAGCAACGCCGCGUGAAGGAAGAAGGCCUUCGGGUUGUAAACUUCUUUUACCAGGGACGAAGGACGUGACGGUACCUGGAGAAAAAGCAACGGCUAACUACGUG